CCGCAGUUAAUUAAGCCGGCCGUGGCCCCUUCAUUUCAAUGGGGUCCCGGCGUGCAAUGGCUGCGCACAGUGACCCCCCCCCGGCUGUGUAGGGCGCCCUAUAGGGCACACAGUCACUAUAUAGGGCGCCCAUAGGGGCCGGGGGGACAUAA